rnacentral:rRNA from 1 species
AUUGAACGCUGGCGGCAGGCCUAACACAUGCAAGUCGAGCGAGCGGCGGACGGGUGAGUAAUGUCUGGGAAACUGCCUGAUGGAGGGGGAUAACUACUGGAAACGGUAGCUAAUACCGCAUACCAUCAGAUGUGCCCAGAUGGGAUUAGCUAGUAGGUGGGGUAACGGCUCACCUAGGCGACGAUCCCUAGCUGGUCUGAGAGGAUGACCAGCCACACUGGAACUGAGAAAGGGUCCAGACCCCUACGGGAGGCAGAAGUGGGGAAUAUUGCACAAUGGGCGCAAGCCUGAGGCAGCCAUGCCGCGUGUGUGAAGAAGGCCUUAGGGUUGUAAAGCACUUUCAGCGGGGAGGCGUUACCCGCAGAAGAAGCACCGGCUAACUCCGUGCCAGCAGCCGCGGUAAUAC